rnacentral:tRNA from 1 species
GCCGAGGUGGCAGAGUCCGGUUUAAUGCGCUAGCCUUGAGAGCUAGUGUCCCUCCGGGACACCUAGGUUCGAAUCCUGGCCUCGGCG